AAUAAGAAGUGUUAGAAUUACUUACCUUUUCUGCUUUAAACUUUCAAAGUUCAACUAUGCAAAUCACUCAAACACCCUAUUCAAAGCUAUUAAGAUCCAUCAUCAACAACUUCAAAAUCCAAAAGAACUAAGAAUGGGUGAAAAUUUGAUAAAUGAUCCAAUUUGGGAUACUAUAGGGUGUAUGGCUUCAUACUUGAACCAAGGUGGAGGAAGAACAAGGCUGGCCAUGCAGCAGUGCCUAGUUGCCCAGGUUAGUUCUAAUAAGAUAUUGAACCCCACUGAUUAAGAUCAACUAUAAUUUAGAUGACUCAAUAAAGGUCAAAGAUAAUUGAAUUCUGAAGGUAUCUCACAAGGGCUGGGGUGGCAUUGGCAUGCCUCCCGAGUAUCAAGAUGGUUAAGGGCCUCUUCACUUAGGUGAAGUUAAACCCAUAGCACUGGAAGACAAGACUUUGAACUGAUCUUAGAGAAAAAAAUGGGAGAACAGAGAGAAAUACUAGAGAGAGGAAAAUAAGAGAGAGUUAUCAUCACUUUCUAUCUUUCUCUUUUCUUUUUUCUUUCUUCUUCUUUUUCUUUGGCUGAAUAGAGGAAUAGAGUUAUGGUCAUGAUCCGACAAGCUAUGGUAGUGCAACCAACCAACCGUUAGAUGGCAAUUAAAUAGAAAACUAUCGGUGGAAGGCAGUCGGCUGACAAAAAGAAUGGAGAAUAGGGCCAAACCGAGGUCUUUUUCUUGAUUAUUCUCGGGUCCUAGCCCACUUGCCGGUGGCUAGGGCCCCAACAUUGGCCAUGGCCCAGUGCCAGGCGGAGGUCAAGUUCAUCGACAAUGAAUGCUGACAGAGGAGAUGGCUAGA
rnacentral:lncRNA from 1 species